rnacentral:misc_RNA from 1 species
AAAAAAAAAAAGCAAUUGAUCAAUCAUGUAUCUGUUUUAUAUGUCUUCAAGUUAGAAAAGAUAAUUAAUAAGGUAAAACAUUAGUUCUUGAUAGGCUCAUUUUUAAGCCAUAUAUGGAGAACAUAAGUGAGAUUGUAUAGAGGUCAAGUUAAUUAAUAGCCUUAGAUUUCUAAAACAUUGAACUAGUGAAUGAUUCAGCCAGAUAGACAAUGUUCCAUUACACAAAUUCAUGGUUGCCAAAUAUGCAUUUGUUGACUAGAUUUUCACAACCAUGAUACAGCAAUGCCUUUCUAAUCAAAGGUUCUAGAUUCAGAAUAAACAUAACGUAGAGAUGGACAUGUGCUUGUUCAUAUUCCAAGUUCAAAAGUUUUUAAUCUAUUUUUGACUUCUCACUUAUUGAGUACUUCCUUAGAGAAAAUUCUACACUGCACCAGGAGCAUGGUAAAUUAAUAUGGUACUUCCUCACUUAUAUAAAAGUGGGUCUCCUAUAAAAUAAAGAGAGUGGACUCUACUUUUGUGAUUGUGAGAGUGAGGGUGAGGCAGCUAAUUUCUUUUUUCGUAGUCCUUAAUAAAUUUCAACUUGUGAGAGACAAUAUGAGAUAUAAAGAGUUAGGAAUGGUACUAAUUAAUUGAGGCUCAGUCAUAUUGAAGUUAUUUACAGAAUCAAAACCUUUCCUUCUCUCUCCUAACUUGACAGACAAUUCUUGCUAUUUUUCGUAAAGUUCUCCAAGCGAGAUUCGAAUUUAGGACCUCUUAAUGCUUUAAGUCUUUACUAUAGUGAGUUUUUGGAAAGAUCAUAUUACUUCUGCUGCACAUAAAAGUAGUGUUAUCUUUCUCUCACAAAAAUAUGAGCCCUCUUUAUAAUAUGAAAAAUGGUCCCAUAUGAUUGGGAGAGCCGAUAUAUGUAUACUUGGUGCACUUAAUACAUAUUUGUCAUCAUAAGUAUUUUAUAUAUAUAUAUGUGUAGUAAUGAAUUUAGCUUAUGUUGUGGAGGAAAAUUCUACUGCAAUGAUUUCAGCUUUUUGAAUUUGUAAAUCCUGUAUAAUCAUUUAUAUGAGUACGUUCCUCAUAUGAUUUGUGCAUGCUUGCAUGAAUUUUCUUGUGAGCAUGAGCCCUGAGAAGAUUAUAUUUAUAGGCAUAACCAAAGUCAAAAAUGUACAUUUCUCGUUUCCAAAGAAAAUUUUGCUCCUAUCAGUGCCCUUCUUGCCGACUUGGAUUAGGCUACUACCUAUAGUAUUUUGGCAACAGAUCUACCUAUAGCUACUUUUGAAGUUAUGGGAAUUUUUUGCCUAUAGACCUGUUCAACAAGGAUCAAGAUGUAAGUAUGUAGGAUUAAUGUAUUUAAUAAGUGAAUCUCACUACUUAUUUUGUAUUUCGAGACUACGAUGGAUCAGAUUUAGCAAAAAAGAAAAAAAGUAAGUGAAGUUAUAGGCUUAGAAACCUUUUUGCUGUGGCGUUGAGGCUUAUAUAAGAAUGGGUAUCUUGGUCAUUCUAUUUGGACUCCAUGUAGCAUAUAUCAUUUUCUUUGUAUGUGGAUUCUUGCAUUAUGCUUUCCAACUUUUAUAUAAGAAAAUUACUCAAUGCAAAUCUUUAUACCCUGGUUUAAUAUUCUGACCAUUAAUUAUGAUACAUUCAAUAUGAAUCUUUUCAUGAUUUAACAGUAAAAUUACAUUCAUUAUACCCAUAAUAAUUACAUUAAAUUAAUAAUUAUUAUUUUAUAUGGUUGAUCUUCGACUUUUUCUGAUAUUUUGAACUUUUAAGCAUGUGGCUGGCUGCUUCUUGAACUUUUCCCUUUUACUCUAUAGCCCCUUUAGUUUUUGAGCAGGUACAUGGCAUGGGUGAAAAUUUCACCAACUUUUUCACACUCCAAAGCCAAAAGCAUUUUCCUCUUGUAAAAAACAAACUUAAAAGCAUUUUUGGUCUUUGUGUCAGAUUUUUCUAUUUUGUAAGAGAUUUCUUCAUUUGGGUGUCCAAGAGUUAGUGUUCCCCGCAGUAUGCAACACAGAGGAAGAGGAAAAAAAAUUUUCAACUCAGUUACUUAGUUUAAUAGUACUGAAAUUGCUUCCACAAUUUUAAAAUUUUGAAUUUAUAUGUAUAUAUAUGCAGGAGCUAUUAUCGAUGUACACAAGAUAAUUGUCGUGUAAAGAAGCGAGUGGAGAGAUUAGCUGAGGACCCAAGAAUGGUGAUAACA